rnacentral:rRNA from 1 species
UUGGUGCCUUCGGGAACUGUGAGACAGGUGCUGCAUGGCUGUCGUCAGCUCGUGUUGUGAAAUGUUGGGUUAAGUCCCGCAACGAGCGCAACCCUUAUCCUUUGUUGCCAGCGGUUAGGCCGGGAACUCAAAGGAGACUGCCAGUGAUAAACUGGAGGAAGGUGGGGAUGACGUCAAGUCAUCAUGGCCCUUACGACCAGGGCUACACACGUGCUACAAUGGCAUAUACAAAGAGAAG